GCAAGCUCUCGUCAGCCUCUUCCGCCCUGCUGCUUGUCUUCGCUCCUCUUCCUCACCUUUUGUUUGGUUUGCUUUCAUGUUCCUAUCUGAAACCUCAGUCUGUCUAUUUUGUGCCUGCCUCAAUGCUUCAUGUUUGAUUUCAGCUGCCUUGUGCCUCUCUUGCAAACAGUUUCUUUCGGUGUCAGCUUUCCUCCUUCGCUCAAGUGUGAAGUAACAAUGCCAUUGAAAAGUCUGCUUGCUGUACCUGUCAGUCUCUUUCUUCUCUGUCCUCUGUCACUCUGUAAAUCAUGUGGCAUAACAGCCUCUGGUGACAAGUUUGGUUUUGAGCCAAUGUAACCUAUAUGUUUGUGUGUGUGUGUGUGUGUAGGUGUGUGUGUGGUGUGCGUGUGUGUGUGUGCGCGCGCGUGUGUUUGAAAGCAGUGCUGAGAGACAAGUUGGCGCAUUCCAGCGUGGAAUUUCAGAAGAUGAGAGAAGAGAAGCAGCAUCUAACUAAGCAGCUGACGGAGCAGACACAACAGAAAGAGCAGCUGCACCAGAAAGACGAGUCCGAGAGGGAGUACAAAGAAAAGCUGAUCAGUUGACUGCGGCCCUGGAACAGAAGAUUGCCGAGAAUACACUGCGGCUGCAGGAGGAGAGAGAGGAGCUUCACAAAGAGGCAGAACUAGAGCUGACAAUCCACAGGGAGAAGAACCAGCUGUUGCUCCAACAGUACAAGCAAGACAGCACACCACUUAAGCACGAGAUGAAAAUCAAUAUCUCAUAUUCUUGUAAAUGGAAUUAUAAGAACCUAUUAUUGUCCAUUUUCUCAUUGUAAUACUGUAUCUACUUACAGCUUU